GACGAACGCUGGCGGCGUGCUUAACACAUGCAAGUCGAACGGUAAGGCCCUUCGGGGUACACGAGUGGCGAACGGGUGAGUAACACGUGGGCGAUCUGCCCUGCACUUCGGGAUAAGCCUGGGAAACUGGGUCUAAUACCGGAUAGGACCACUGCCUGCAUGGGUGGUGGUGGAAAGCUUUUGCGGUGUGGGAUGGGCCCGCGGCCUAUCAGCUUGUUGGUGGGGUGAUGGCCUACCAAGGCGACGACGGGUAGCCGGCCUGAGAGGGUGACCGGCCACACUGGGACUGGGAUACGGCCCAGACUCCUACGGGGGGCAGCAGUGGGGAAUAUUGCACAAUGGGCGCAAGCCUGAUGCAGCGACGCCGCGUGAGGGAUGACGGCCUUCGGGUUGUAAACCUCUUUCAGCACCGACGAAGCGCAAGUGACGGUAGGUGCAGAAGAAGGACCGGCCAACUACGUGCCAGCAGCCGCCGUAACAC
rnacentral:rRNA from 1 species